GGUCCAGUAGCAUAUUGGCUGAUGCAUCAGUGUUGUACAACACGUGCUUCUCUGUUUUCAAACUGAGUACCCUUGUUCAACUCAAGGCUGGACCA